rfam:Mobiluncus curtisii ATCC 43063, complete genome.
GCCCCCAUCGUCUAGCGGCCUAGGACAUCGCCCUCUCACGGCGGUAACACCGGUUCAAAUCCGGUUGGGGGUA